rnacentral:rRNA from 1 species
AGUGAACGCUGGCGGCGUGCCUAAUACAUGCAAGUCGAACGGAGUGGCGCACGGGUGAGUAAUGUAUAGCUAAUCUGCCCUACACUAGAGGACAACAGUUGGAAACGACUGCUAAUACUCUAGAGUGUAGGAUGAGGCUAUAUUGUAUAAGCUAGUUGGUGAGGUAAUGGCUCACCAAGGCUAUGACGCAUAACUGGUCUGAGAGGAUGAUCAGUCCAACUCGAACUGAGCCACGUUCCGGACUCCUACGGGAGGCAGCAGUAGGGAAUAUGACUCAAUGGGGGAGACCCUAAAUCAGCAACGCCGCGUGGAGGAUGACACUUUUCGAGGCGUAAACUCCUUUUGUUAGGGAAGCGGUACCUAACGAAUAAGCACCGGCUAACUCCGUGCCAGCCGCCGCGGUAAUUC